UACGGAGGGUGCGAGCGUUGUCCGGAAUUAUUGGGCGUAAAGCGCGCGCAGGCGGUUCUUUAAGUCUGAUGUGAAAGCCCCCGGCUCAACCGUGGAGGGUCAUUGGAAACUGGGGAACUUGAGUGCAGAAGAGGAAAGUGGAAUUCCAAGUGUAGCGGUGAAAUGCGUAGAGAUUUGGAGGAACACCAGUGGCGAAGGCGGCUCACUGGCCCGGUACUGACGCUGAGGCGCGAAAGCGUGGGGAGCAAACAGG
rnacentral:rRNA from 1 species